CAGACUCUUUCUGGCAGGGUUCUCCAGGUUUCCACAAUGUCUGCCUUUCACCUGGCCCCUCAGUAUGCUCUGCUGGGCUUGGCUGAAGUCAUGGUCAUUCCUUCCUGUAAGUGUUAUGGGGAUCCUCAGGCUAGUAUUGCAUCAGCACAAUGAAGGUAGCAUGUCUAUAUUAGUAAGUUAAGUAUUUGUAGCUUUUUCUCCUUAAUGUCCUAAUUGAGCCAGAAAAUUUGCAUGUAGAUUCCUAGCAAUCCGUUAACACAAAGUCAGAAUCAGUGGGAAAAUGGAAAAUUCCCCUAAAUACAACUGAUGGAGAGUGGACAAUCUCAAUCAAUAACUUUAAUAUGCUUUCUAAUGUUCCCUAAUAAUAAUCUAAUAAUGACAAUACAUAAUUGAUGUCUAGAUUAUCUUGAUGUGAACCUCACUGGAUAACUCAAAGUCCAGAUAUGGGUGAAGCAAUUGGUGUGACUGGUUAGACUGAUGGCCAUCAUCUGCAAAGCUCUAUAGGUAGAGCUGGUAGCCAAAAAAAAAAAUCCAUCAGUAGACUUUCACCAGCUAUUACUACUCGCUGCAUGUAGACUAUACUGUCAAACCAUAUAAACAAAUAUAAACAAACCCAGUAAAACGUCAUUAAAUAUGUUUCAGGCUCUGUCAUAACAUUCAGACUUGCUCCAAGUCGAAUUCGAGGCAUCUCGAUGAACUUCCUGACACUUUUCAAUGCAGUGGGCUGUUUCACAGGAGCUUUGAUGGUUG